rnacentral:rRNA from 1 species
GGGCCCGCACAAGCGGUGGAGCAUGUGGUUUAAUUCGACGCAACGCGAAGAACCUUACCAGGUCUUGACAUCCUGAUUUUGGUCGUUAGAAAUAACUUCCUUCAGUUCGGCUGGAUCAGUGACAGGUGCUGCAUGGCUGUCGUCAGCUCGUGUCGUGAGAUGUUGGGUUAAGUCCCGCAACGAGCGCAACCCUUAUCUUCAGUUGCCAUCAGGUUAUGCUGGGCACUCUGAAGAAACUGCCGGUGAUAAGCCGGAGGAAGGUGGGGACGACGUCAAGUCAUCAUGGCCCUUACGGCCUGGGCUACACACGUGCUACAAUGGCUAGGACAGACGGCCGCAAACCCGCGAGGGGGAGCC